rnacentral:lncRNA from 1 species
UUUCUGAAAUAAAUAGAACAACAGUCUUUGUCAAAUGUAAAAUCAUGACCUUCCUGUGCUAGACAUGAAACAGAAAUCAAAUUUCUGCUAGCAGCAGGUACAUAAUAGCAGUCUCUAAGUAAUAAACUAAAAUCAGACGGUAGUCGCAGAUGGUAGGUGCCCACAGCCAGAGCAGCAACUUUUGCCCCAUUGCCAACCCGAAGGAUUACCGCACCUUCCGCCAGCCUUCUACUUUCCUUUAGACCCUGCAUGGUAGUGCACAAAUGAGCACUAGAACCAGAAUCUAUAACCCAACUAAAAGUAGAAGAAACCGUUAGAUUAGUUUCAAUUAUGAGCAAGUCUAUAUCUUCUGAAGGUGUGUCACCUUUCUUGUUCUUCAGGCUCUCGAGGUAUGA